CCUACGGGAGGCUGCAGUGAGGAAUAUUGGUCAAUGGACGAGAGUCUGAACCAGCCAAGUCGCGUGAAGGAUGACUGCCCUAUGGGUUGUAAACCUCUUUUAUAUGGGAAUAAAACAGGGUAUGCAUACCCUCUUGUAUGUACCAUAUGAAUUAGGCUCGUCCAACCUCGUGCCAGCAGCCGCGGUAAUAACGAGGGUCCGGGCGUUAUCCGGAUUUAUUUGGGUUAAAGGGAUCGUAGGUGGGUUGUUAAGUCAGUUGUGAAAGUUUUCGGCUCAACCGUAGAAUUGCAGUUGAAACUGGCAGUCUUGAGUACAGGAGAAGUGUGCGGAAUGCGUGGUGUAGCGGUGAAAUGCUUAGAUAUCACGAAGAACUCCGAUUGCGAAGGCAGCACACUGGACUGCAACUGACACUGAGGCACGAAAGUGUGGGGAUCGAACAGGAUUAGAUACCCCUGUAGUC
rnacentral:rRNA from 1 species